rnacentral:rRNA from 1 species
AAUCUGCCUUUAGGACGGGGACAACAGUUGGAAACGGCUGCUAAAACCCGAUGUGCCCUUCUGGGUGAAAUAUUUAUAGCCUGAAGAUGAGCUCGCGUCUGAUUAGCUAGUAGGUGAGGUAAAGGCUCACCUAGGCGACGAUCAGUAACUGGUCUGAGAGGAUGACCAGUCACACUGGGACUGAGACACGGCCCAGACUCCUACGGGAGGCAGCAGUGGGGAAUUUUCCGCAAUGGGCGAAAGCCUGACGGAGCAUUUCCGCGUGAGG